GACGAACGCUGGCGGCGUGCUUAACACAUGCAAGUCGAACGGAAAGGCCCUGCUUUUGUGGGGUGCUCGAGUGGCGAACGGGUGAGUAACACGUGAGUAACCUGCCCUUGACUUUGGGAUAACUUCAGGAAACUGGGGCUAAUACCGGAUAGGAGCUCCUGCUGCAUGGUGGGGGUUGGAAAGUUUCGGCGGUUGGGGAUGGACUCGCGGCUUAUCAGCUUGUUGGUGGGGUAGUGGCUUACCAAGGCUUUGACGGGUAGCCGGCCUGAGAGGGUGACCGGCCACUGUGGGACGGGAACCGGCCCCAGCCCCCUCCGGGAGGCAGCAGGGGGAAUUAUUCAACAAGGGGCGGAAGCUUGACGCAGCAACCCCGGGGGCGGGAGGCCGGCCUUCGGUUUUUAACCCGUUUUCGCCUGUGACGAAGGGGGAGUGAGGGAAAGGGGUAAAGAACCCCGGGCUAACUAGGUC
rnacentral:rRNA from 1 species